rnacentral:rRNA from 1 species
GAUGAACGCUAGCGGCAGGCUUAAUACAUGCAAGGCGAAGGGGCAGCAAUGUCACUGUCGUACGGGUGCGUAACGCGUAUGCAACCUACCUAUAACUGGGGGAUAGCCCGGGGAAACCCGGAUUAAUACCGCAUAAUACAGGGAUGUAGCAUUACAUUUUUUGUUAAAGAUUUAUUGGUUAUAGAUGGGCAUGCGUUCGAUUAGCUAGUUGGUAUGGGUAACGGCCUACCAAGGCGACGAUCGAUAGGGGAGCUGAGAGGUUGAUCCCCCACACGGGCACUGAGAUACGGGCCCGACUCCUACGGGAGGCAGCAGUAGGGAAUAUUGGGCAAUGGAUGCAAGUCUGACCCAGCCAUGCCGCGUGCCGGAUGAAGGCCCUCAGGGUUGUAAACGGCUUUUAUUCGGGAGGAAGAGCGAGGAUGCGUCCUUGUGUGACGGUACCGAAUGAAUAAGCACCGGCUAACUCCGUGCCAGCCGCCGCCGUAAAAC